rnacentral:rRNA from 1 species
AUUGAACGCUGGCGGCAGGCCUAACACAUGCAAGUCGAGCGAGCGGCGGACGGGUGAGUAAUGUCUGGGAAACUGCCUGAUGGAGGGGGAUCACUACUGGAAACGGUAGCUAAUACCGCAUACCAUCAGAUGUGCCCAGAUGGGAUUAGCUAGUAGGUGGGGUAACGGCUCACCUAGGCGACGAUCCCUAGCUGGUCUGAGAGGAUGACCCGGCAAAAUGGAACUGAGAACAGGUCCAGAAUCCUACGGGAGGGAGAAGGGGGGAAUAUUGGACAAUGGGCGGAAGGCUGAUGCAGCCAUGCCGAGUGGGGGAAGAAGGCCUUCGGGUUGUAAAGGACUUUCAGCGGGGAGGCGUUACCCGCAGAAGAAGCACCGGCUAACUCCGUGCCAGCCGCCGCGGUAAUAC